AGUGAACGCUGGCGGUAGGCCUAACACAUGCAAGUCGAACGGCAGCACAGUAAGAGCUUGCUCUUACGGGUGGCGAGUGGCGGACGGGUGAGGAAUACAUCGGAAUCUACUUUUUCGUGGGGGAUAACGUAGGGAAACUUACGCUAAUACCGCAUACGACCUACGGGUGAAAGCAGGGGAUCUUCGGACCUUGCGCGAUUGAAUGAGCCGAUGUCGGAUUAGCUAGUUGGCGGGGUAAAGGCCCACCAAGGCGACGAUCCGUAGCUGGUCUGAGAGGAUGAUCAGCCACACUGGAACUGAGACACGGUCCAGACUCCUACGGGAGGCAGCAGUGGGGAAUAUUGGACAAUGGGCGCAAGCCUGAUCCAGCCAUACCGCGUGGGUGAAGAAGGCCUUCGGGUUGUAAAGCCCUUUUGUUGGGAGAGAAAAGCAGCAGGUUAAGACCCCGCUGUUCUGACGGUACCCAAAGAAUAAGCACCGGCUAACUUCGUG
rnacentral:rRNA from 1 species